AAUCGAUGAUACGCGAGGAACCUUACCAAGGCUUAAAUGGGAAUUGAUCGGUUUAGAAAUAGACCUUCCUUCGGGCAAUUUUCAAGGUGCUGCAUGGUUGUCGUCAGCUCGUGCCGUGAGGUGUUAGGUUAAGUCCUGCAACGAGCGCAACCCCUGUCACUAGUUGCUAGCAUUAAGUUGAGGACUCUAGUGAGACUGCCUACGCAAGUAGAGAGGAAGGUGGGGAUGACGUCAAAUCAUCACGGCCCUUACGCCUUGGGCCACACACGUAAUACAAUGGCCGGUACAGAGGGCAGCUACACAGCGAUGUGAUGCAAAUCUCGAAAGCCGGUCUCAGUUCGGAUUGGAGUCUGCAACUCGACUCUAUGAAGCUGGAAUCGCUAGUAAUCGCGCAUCAGCCAUGGCGCGGUGAAUACGUUCCCGGGCCUUGUACACACCGCCCGUCAAGCCAUGGAAGUCUGGGGUACCUGAAGUCGGUGACCGUAAAAGGAGCUGCCUAGGGUAAAACAGGUAACUAGGGCUAAGUCGUAACAA
rnacentral:rRNA from 1 species